GAAAAAUAUUAUGAUAAUCUCCCAAAAGCUAACUGUAAACUUGUAUCCAAAAACUGGAGAGAAAACAUGUGAAGUUCAAGUGCAGAAUGUCGAGUACCAGUCCCCAAGAAAACCCUAAACAAUACUUUAAAUAGUGCACCUUCUCGGACAGGUGACGACAUUUUGUGACGCCUUAUCAGGAGUCUGACGACUUAUCACAGAUGUUGUCAGCUCCUCUUCACUUUUGACAUUCGCUGCCUUUGGCUAAUGAUGAAGUGUGACAGAUUAUUAGAUCUUUGACGACUUAUCAUAGAUGUCGUCGAUGAUUUACUUCAGCUCUCAUGUUCUGCCUUAGACUAACGACGAUCUUGACGUCUUAUCACAACUCUGAAGGCUUAUAACAUGUCGUCGUCACUUCUUCUAGCUGAAUUCCAUUCUCUGUUUAAGGCGGACGAUGAAGCUGAUAACCUAUCAGAGUGCUGACGACUUAUCAGGAAUGUCGUCAGCCACACUUCUCUUCUAUUUGUUUCAGAUUUCAACUCUUUUACUUCCAUCAUUGUUGGUUCUCUUGCAUCUUGACUUCCACUGCAAAAUCAAAGAUAAAACAAUCAAAGAUAAAACAAGUAAAAUAGACCAAAGUUGCUCAAGACUUUGCAAUUAUUCUCAGUUAAAAUCCUCAAAUGUGUGCAUCUUCUGCUCACUGUUUUGCAAAAAUUUUGACUUUUAAAGAGAAUCACCACUUAAUUUUGAAAAGCAAUUAAGAAACCUUUAGAGAGUUACUUAAAACGAUUCAAAAUAGAAAAAAUAUUUUAAGUUAGAGAUUCUAGAUAAACGGUUCCUAUUAACGUUUUAGGAAGGUGUUAGGAACCUAAAACGUCCGUUAACUUGCGGUUAUUUGAAUUGUUUGAAAAUCUUCUUUGAUUAACUUUAAAAAAAAGUUAAAAAAGAAAACGAUUUUAGAAAUAUUUUGAUGUUUGUGCGAAACUAGUUUUUAGCGACUUUACUAAGGAUUUAACUAGGUUCGCAAUGCAUAUAAGGCAAACAAACAUAUUGAAUCGGGGGAAGGAGAUUUAGGCCAUCGGGCCCAAAUCAACCUGUCCUAAACUAUUUUAGGCUUUCGGCCCAUUUCACCUGUCCUAAUCUAAAUACUGGCUUUUAGCCCACAACCUGUCCUAAGCUAAUUUUCGGACCUUUGAGGCCCAAAAUCCGCCUCACCUGUAUUAAAUUUACAACUUUGGCUUCGAGGCCCAAAUGAAUGAAUAAAGAAAAUAAAUAAAAGACGACAAUGAAAAUAUAAAUAAAUAAAAAAGAUUAAAAAAAAACUUUCUAGUCUUUUUUCCGGGACUUUAGCCCAUUCCUCUGCGUUCGACUCUUCAUAACCAUGCGCUAUGUGAUCGGCUUUCAAAGCCUUCUAGAAAGUAGGCCUUGAUGGCCCGUUGCAAAAUACAAGGGAAAGGAGUCCGAUUGGACUCCCGAGCGAGAUCAUGCAAAGAAAAAGAUGAAUGAAUUAAUGCCCGAUCAACCAAAAAGGAUGGGAAACAAAAGGUAAUAACUUUAAAGGUUCUGGUGAUAUAUGAUAAAACUAAUUUCAGUGAAGCACAAGCCAAUUCUCACACGUGACGCAAAUAGCACAUGAGUUUAUUACCGAAUCCUAGCUAAAAUUAUAUGGAUAUUCAACUAACACAUCUUCAAUAAAAGAUAGGCAAAUCGCAGCUAACAGGAGAAUUUGAAGGUUCUUAGAACAUCGUUGACAGACAAAUCAGCUAAAAAGGGAUUAAUAAUCAAUGAUGGUAUUAACCUGCCACAAGAUCUACAAGUUCGUGUCGUAGGAUCUAAAACAAAACAUAAAGGAACAAAUCAAUGAUAGGAUAACUAAAUUUACUACAUUGAUGGCAUACAAUCCGUCAUACAUCACCAACGAGAUAAAAUCCAUUACUAUAUUUCCAUGUAAUUUCGAAAAUGUUAUCCAAAAUUAAGGACGCAACUUGAAUACAAAAUGUAUCCUUGAGGGGUCACCAAAUGAUUUGAACUAAUAUGACAUCUCCCUUAUCCCUUCCUGACAUUAUUUGUCUAAAGGGGUUUUGGGAAUGUUUUCACUUGACUUCGAAAGAUUCAAAACAAAUACAUAACAGAAUAAAACCAAGGCGAACUACCACAAUAUUGAACUACUACCCAUAAUACUGAACUAAGGCAACGAAUCAAAACUAAAACAAGCAGUAGUCGGCUAAACGAAUAGCAAAUUAGGCAAAAAUAAUCAAGUACAAAACGAUAUAAUGAAAAAUAACAAUAAUAAAACAUUACAGUUAUUUUGAAGAUGAAAUUGAAAUAAAAUUAUAAGGUUAAAAUAUUGAGGCCAAAACUGAAAUAAUAAACAAUAAAUCAAAGGGAACUACUGGAUUUCAUCAAAACAAGGUGAUGACUAAAAUGAAAAUCUAAAAUCUUGCGGUGAAAAGCAUCAAAUAAUAUAGAACAAAAAUGAACUACACAAACAGUAACCAACAGGCAAAGCAUUUAAGCUGAAACAAAUAGUUAAUCAAUCCUACAACCUUUGUUGACUCCUCUUAUAUAGAUUAAUAAACUACCCUACAAUACUUAAUAUGAAACAGUGAAUUCAGGGCGAGUGAACCCAAAUAUUAAGCCAGCGGUGAAACACAGGUCAUAACAUGGACAAUGAUUCAACAUAAUAACCAUCUUAGCCUUCCGAGGCUCCUACAACGAGCGAUUCUCGACAAACCACAACAUGCUCAAACAAAUCUUACAGCCAACGAGGCCUCCACAGCUACUCCAAGCAUAGAAUAAUAUCAAAAAAAUUAUUUAUAACUACAGAAGGUCGAGAUGAAGCAGAAAUAAACGAAAUGGAGAGUUUCUUAUUUUGUGGCAGCAAAACGAGACCUUCGAGCUAAUAUCAGAUUCCAACACCACUGAAAAUCGACCUCUCUAGAGUUUCGAUCAAUCAACGACUUCAAAAACCUACUAGAAAAUUAAAGUUUUUACUGAGUUUUUCCUCAAAGAAAAUUUUCUCUCCCUUAGCUUUUUUUGAAUCCCGUCUCCCAAUUUUCGAAUCAUUCGAACCCAAAAAAAACUUCUUCAAAAUUUCUAGCCCCAAACUUAGAACCCUAAAGCCAAGAAUCCAAAAAACAAUCCUCCAAAACAGUGACCCAAGGGGUCUAUAUAUAGAAGACAAAUUAGGGGUCCUUUUGGGAUUUGAAAAAAGAUAUUUUCAAUUUUAAAUUUGAAAAUCUCCCCCCACAACCCGUUUUCAUCUCAAUUCAUACCAAUUUUUGGAUUUUUUUUUGGAUCAAGGGAGGGAUGGACCAAUAGGAUUCUUGCAAAAUGAAUUGUACCCCCAACUAAUGAAAAUCCCCUAAAUUUGCACGAAAUCGUACCAUUGUUACCGAGAUUUGCGGAAUUGAUCCAUUGAGGGGCCACCUUGGCACUGUUCUAGAAGGUUCUCAGACCUCCUAUGGUACACCAUCGCGUGUUGAGAACGUGGGGCGUACGGGGGAAAGAGGACGGGUUGAUUUCGCGUCGGAGCUAGUUCGAUUUUGGCUUGUUGUGGAUCGUUGAUGGGUCUGGGGUCAGGUUUGCUGUUUGAAUCAUUGAUUUGGGAGUUACUGUUGUUUGAUGUUGUUGUUAAUGUAACGGGAAAAAGAUAAGGGGACUGGGCAGGGUCACGUUAUGAUGUUGGGCUGGUAAGGAGGAAAUGGGUUGUUGGGCCAGCUAUUGCUGUGGGCUGAUUAUGUUAAGAAAAAGAAAAGAAAUGGGCAGAUCGGAUGGGCUGAUUUGGUGCGUUCCUUUGAAACUAGGCCGAAGAAUUGGGGGUUAUUUAAAAUAUAACCCCCAAUUAAAAAUUUAGAAUUUGGUCAAAAUUAAUUAAUAUUUUGAUCCAAUUAAACAUUAGAUUGGUUUAUUGCAUUGCAAAUAUGACCAAUUAAUUUCAAUUAGGAUCAAAUUUAAUAAUUUGACUAAAUUGAAUCAAAAUUUGAUACGAAUCAAUACCUUGUCCAAUCCCAAA
rnacentral:lncRNA from 1 species